rnacentral:rRNA from 1 species
UACGGAGGGUGCAAGCGUUAUCCGGAUUCACUGGGUUUAAAGGGUGCGUAGGCGGGCAUUUAAGUCAGUGGUGAAAUCUCCAAGCUUAACUUGGAAACUGCCGUUGAUACUAUCUGUCUUGAAUAUUGUGGAGGUGAGCGGAAUAUGUCAUGUAGCGGUGAAAUGCUUAGAUAUGACAUAGAACACCAAUUGCGAAGGCAGCUCACUACACAAUCAUUGACUCUGAGGCACGAAAGCGUGGGGAUCAAACAGG